CCCAAUAUGCGACCCUAUCCGAGAGUAACUCGAAGGUCCCACCAAGGAUAGACCCGCAUAUUGAAACCCUUUUGCAAGGUGGAUAUCAUUACAUCAACAUUACAUAAAAGAUGGGGAUACACACAAAAGACACAAACGCCCCAAGAAUACACCAAUACAUCAUACAUAAGAUCAACAUCCGUCUACGGAUGAAACACAAACAGAAACUCAAACGACAUCCACCCUGCUAGCCCAGGCUGCCGACCUGGAACCUAUCCCCUGAUCGAAGAAGAAGCAGAAGAAGAACUCCAAAACAAGAAACAUCGCUCUCGCGUCAUGAUCAUCGCAAAACCUGUACCUGCAACUGUUGGUGUAGUAAUCUGUGAGCCACGAGGACUCAGCAAUCCCAUUACCAUGGGUAUCAAGACUAACAAAGCUUAAUGGGUAAGGAAGGGGUAAAGUGGUGAGGUUGCAGCAGCGACUAAGCAAGUAUGGUGGCUAACAUACGCAAAUAAGAGCGAGAAGAGAAGCAACGGAAUGGUCGCCAACUAGUCAUGAUCAAGAAGGGAUCCUGAACUCCUACUUACGUCAAACAUAACACAAACCGUGUUCUCCUCCCGAACUUCCUCGAAAAGAGACAAUCACGGGUACGCACGCGGUUGGUGUAUUUUAGAAAAGUUUACUUCAAGUUUACUACAACCGGACAUUAACAAAUUCCCAUCUGCCACAUAACCGCGGGCACGGCUCUCGAAAGUUUAAAACCCUGCAGGGUGUCCCAACUUAGCCCAUGAUAAGCUCUCACGAUCAACAAAGGAUAUUCCUUCUCCCGGGAAGACCCGAUCAGUCUCGGAAUCCCGGUUACAAGACAUUUCGACAAUGGUAAAACAAGACCAGCAAAGCCGCCCGAAUGUGCUGACAAAUCCCGAUAGGAGCUGCACAUAUCUCGUUCUCAGGGCACACCGGAAGAGUCAAGCUACGAGUAAAACCAUACCUCGAUUUUCCCCGAGGUGGCCCCGCAGGCUGCUCGGUUCGAACCAACAAUCAGAGGAGCACUGGCCCGGGGGGGUUAAAAUAAAGAUGACCCUCGUGCUCCGUAAAGCCAAGGGAAAAAGGCUUAGGUGAGGCAAAUGGUAAAACCAAUGUUGGGCCUUACUGGAAGAGUUUUAUUCAAGGCAAACUGUCAAGGGGUUCCCAUAACACCCAACCGCGUUAGGGACGCAAAAUCUGGGAACAUAAUACCGAUAUGACGGAAACUAGGGCGGCAAGAGUGGAACAAAACACCAGCCAUAAGGCCGAGCCUUCCACCCUUUACCAAGUAUAUAGAUGCAUUAAUAAUAUAAGAGUUAUUGUGAUAUCCAACAUAAACAUAAUCCAACAAGGAGCAAUCUUCAACUUCACCUGCAACUAGCAACACUAUAAUAGGGGCUGAGCAAAAGUGGUAACAUAGCCAAACAACGGUUUGCUAGGAAGGGGGACAACGGUUAGAGGUUCAUGGCAAUUUGGGAGGCUUGAAGAGCAAGUGAUAGGUAGCGCAGAAUAUCGAUAGAACGAAGCAACUAGCAUAGCAAUGAUAGUAGUGAGAUCCAAGGUAACGGUCAUCUUGCCUAAAAUCCCGCUAGGAAGAAGAACGAGUCCAUGAAGAAGAUGAAGCCAUGAAGACGAACCAAGCGUAGACGAACGAAUCCUCACGAUCGCAACGAAACGGGAACUAUCGAGAAGAAGCACACAACUUGGUAAACACGCCACACAUGAACAAGGCAUGAUGCUCAACCAAGUAUGAUGCAUGACAAGGCUACAUGAAGCUACUCAUGGCAAGAGAUGAUGCAUACAUGAGCAACACAUCAAAGCAAGUUUAAAUGAGGCCGGAAACAACAUAGAUCAAUUCCGGUAAGUCCUGAUAUGCAAAUUUCGAAAUUGGUCCAGAUCUGUAUAAACCUUAUGUUCAAGUUCUUAAAAAGCAAGUUAAUUAUGCACCAAGAUGAUCUACACAAAAUUCUAGUCAAGUUACAUAUAAAGUUAAUUUAAUUCGGAGCUACGACCUAGAAGAUAUGAGCAAAACAAGUUAAACAUGCCAUUGAUGCAAAAUGCAUUCAAACAUCAAGCAAACACCUCAAAACAAGAAUUCAACAAGGUAAUAUGAAACUACAUGCAAAACUAAGCAAGUUUCAUAUAGAGCACACUCAAAACGGAGCAACGGUUCAACACAUAAACUCUAUACAAGUUUAAAGGACAAGCUGUCCAAAACAGCAACUAGGCAUCUAGAAAGCCUCAAAACAACAUGCUACAGCACCUCAAUAUGAAAAAAAGGCACGGACGUGAUGUACAGGUAAAGCAUUACAGAACAUGAACACUGAGCUAUUCCCAGAAAUCACUAGAACAUGCCCAAAAGGAUAUGGCAAGAUUGCAAAUAAUAACAGUUUCACAAACUUAGCAGAAAAUCUCUGGGCAUGGCAGAAGUAACAUCAGGUUGCAAAGUUUACAGCUAUCAAACAACAUGCUGCAGGAACAUAUCAUAGCAAACAAAGCCAUGGCAUGAAUCUACUAAUUGCAUAGAACAAAAGUCCCUUACUAAUCACGAGUCAAAAACUUACAGAAGAUAUGAUGGCACCCAUGUAAACAUAGCAAGUUUCAUAAACAGAUUCAGACUUGGCAGAAAAACUGAGCAUGGCAUAAACAUAAUUAUGAAGGCAUCUUUGCGAGCUCAAAUCACUAAGCAUUUCAUGGCAUGUGAAGACAUCCAAUAGUAAGAUGGCAUAAUUAUGAAGCUAAUCAUGGCAAGAGCAAGUUCAUAGGGUGCAUGAAUCACUAGCAAAACACAUGUCAAAACUGAACUUAAUGUUAACAGGCUGACAGCAACAUUAUUUACCAAGUUUGCAGCAUGAUAACAACAAGCUACCGCGUGCUAUAAAUGCAACACAAGGCAUGUCUUGAUACAACAUCACAUGUAUAACAAAACAUUCUUCGUAAACAUCUCCAGAUUAUGCAUAGAUUAAUUGGUAGCAGCAGGUUUACAGGGCAUCACAAUAUAACAGCUACACACUUAGCAGGAAUGACCAAGUCGCAGAAAUCAGCAACAUCACGGAGGCUACUUUGCAAUCUUGUGCUAGUCACCACAUAUAUCACAGAAAAAUACAAGACAAGCACCCCUGUAAAGAUGACAUGAUGUAGUUCAAAACACAUGUAGAGCUCAUGCUCAAAGGAGGCACACACAAAAUGCAAUGAAAAAGACAAAUCACCAAGUUAUAACAGUCUCAGCAGGUUAACAUCAUAUAGCACUCUUGCAAAGAUGAUUAGGUCAUCAAGAUGGACUCAAACAAGCAUGGCACAAUGGAAAAAAAUGAAGAGCACCUCAUGAUGAACAUUUGGACAUAUUAUGCAUGCAAAACGGAGCUGUAUGCAAGAAGUUAUGGCAUGAUGAGCAGGCGCACAUGAUAUGAAAAUAUCAGGACUUAGAAAAAAUAUCACCUCCGGAUCUAGGGUUGACCCGGCGCGGAAAACGAGGCAGGCAAGGCAGG
rnacentral:lncRNA from 1 species